UGGGAAUUUGGACAAUGGGCGAAAGCCUGAUCCAGCAAUGCCGCGUGUGUGAAGAAGGCCUUCGGGUUGUAAAGCACUUUUGUCCGGAAAGAAAUCCUUGGCUCUAAUACAGUCGGGGGAUGACGGUACCGGAAGAAUAAGCACCGGCUAACUACGUGCCAGCAGCCGCGGUAAUACGUAGGGUGCAAGCGUUAAUCGGAAUUACUGGGCGUAAAGCGUGCGCAGGCGGUUUGCUAAGACCGAUGUGAAAUCCCCGGGCUCAACCUGGGAACUGCAUUGGUGACUGGCAGGCUAGAGUAUGGCAGAGGGGGGUAGAAUUCCACGUGUAGCAGUGAAAUGCGUAGAGAUGUGGAGGAAUACCGAUGGCGAAGGCAGCCCCCUGGGCCAAUACUGACGCUCAUGCACGAAAGCGUGGGGAGCAAACAGGAUUAGAUACCCCUGGUAGUCCACGCCCUAAANGAUGUCAACUAGUUGUUGGGGAUUCAUUUCCUUAGUAACGUAGCUAACGCGUGAAGUUGACCGCCUGGGGAGUACGGUCGCAAGAUU
rnacentral:rRNA from 1 species